GGGGUGAGCGAGCAGGAGGUGGGGAGGGCACCGGUGGUCGGGUGGUGUACGGCGGCGGUAGAGGAUGUAGGUGACCGACGGUGGAAGCGGACGAGGAGGGAGGGGGUGUAGAGGGAGGGAGGGUGCGUCGGCGGAGGGAGGGAGCGAGCGGGGAGUAGACAUCUGUCGCUGCCGCCGAGGGCACGGGUGCAAGAAGGAGGGUGCCAGGGUGGUUGGUGGUUGAGGAGGGGUAGCGGUACCUGCUCGAACUCGAGGUCCACGAGGAAGAGAUGGAUCUUCGGGUUCCCACAAGUUCCGCUGUUCCCCUAGUUGGAGUUGGACGGUUGGGAUCGACGGGGGUACGGUGGCGGCCGAGGAAGAGGGCCGGACGGCCUAGGGCGGCAGGCGUAGGGGCCGCAACAGCGGCAUCGGCAGUAGGAGCACACGUGAGCUGUCCUCUUCACGCCGAGAGGAGAAUCGGGCAGAGCCAAGAGAUAACGAGAGUGUCAGGGGAAAGGUUUGGGAUUGGGAGGAGAAGAAGUAAUUGACGGCCGCUAACCGUUCCCCUCGUGUUCAGCUCCACGCGGCGGAAGCUAAGACGUCACACGGACUACCGACGAAGACGUCAUCGUCGCCGCCGUUCGGAACCUUACCGAGCCCUGUGGUCUUCGCCCGUUGCUUCCGGUAACGGUCCAACCAUAACAAGGUCUGUAGCUUCUAACAACUACACACUUCCGGCUCCCUUUUUACAAUCAUUGAUGUUUCUCCCAUGGUCGUAUUAGUUUAUUCCUAUCAAGUGGUCCACAUUUCCUUCACCUCACACUUGGGUCACAAAGAAAACUGAUGAGGUUCAGACUUUACUUAAGAUACCUCUCCUUUUACAACUUGGCCCACGAACUUCAUUUCCUCCUCGUAGGAUUCUUCGUCAACGUCGAGGUCUUUUAACCCUUCGUCAAGAACCUCCAUAAUUUUUGUAAUCCAAUAGACCGGUUCGGGGGCAUCUAUGUUUCCCGGCACUCUUCCGACCAAGAGAAGAAGGUGGGUUCCAUAAGCAGUUAACAGUCUCUCAACAAGUCUAAGUUUUCACAUCAAAUGCUUCAGGUACCUGAUACUUUUUAUGUACUCCUACACUAGUAGAAACGCCUCUCACACCCAAAAUACAUUAAACUUUUAAGGGAAUUAAAAGAACACGACACGAUGGUAAACUUUACAAAUGAUCGAUCCUUCUUUUACGUCGGACAUGUACCCAAGUACCGAUUACCUAACGUCUAACCGGUACCUAAACCCGGAUGAUUAGGUGAUUAAAAACUGACUAGAGUAUAGCAACGUAUAAGCAACAUUCGUUUCAAAACGUGUAACUAGACGAUAAAAAAUCCACCUAGAUUAUAAACAAAAGGUUACCGAGG
rnacentral:rRNA from 1 species